GUCUAAAUAUACUUGAUAGUACCUUACUACUUGGAUAACCGUGGUAAUUCUAGAGCUAAUACAUGCUAAAAACCCAGACUUCGGAAUGGGUGUAUUUAUUAGAUAAAAAACCAAUGCCCUUCGGGGCUCCUUGGUGAUUCAUGAUAACUUAACGAAUCGCAUGGCCUUGUGCCGGCGAUGGUUCAUUCUAUAUUCUGCCCUAUCAACUUUCGAUGGUAGGAUAGCGGCCUACCAUGGUUUCAACGGGUAACGGGGAAUUAGGGUUCUAUUCCGGAGAGGGAGCCUGAGAAACGGCUACCACAUCCAAGGAAGGCAGCAGGCGCGCAAAUUACCCAAUCCCGACACGGGGAGGUAGUGACAAUAAAUACUGAUCUUGGGCCAUUUUUGGUCUAAGAAUUGGAAUGAGUACAAUUUAAAUCCCUUAACGAGGAACAAUCGGAGGGCAAGUCUGGUGCCAGCAGCCGCGGUAAUUCCAGCUCCAAUAGCGUAUAUUAAAGUUGUUGCAGUUAAAAAGCUCGUAGUUGAACCUUGG
rnacentral:rRNA from 1 species